rnacentral:tRNA from 1 species
GUAGCUCAGGUGUAGAGUGUAUGCCCUGCAUGCAUGAGUUCCUGGGUUCAACUCCCAGUACA